GAGGGUAUAGCUCAAGUGGCAAGAGUACAUGCUUAGCAUGCACAAGGUCCUGGGUUCAAUUCCCAGUACCUCCU
rnacentral:tRNA from 1 species